GCAGUACAAACUGAGCAGGCAAUGCCCGGGCCUUUCGGCGGGGCAUGUGGCCGGGUCGUGAAAGCGGCAGCAGAGGGAGCCUGAGCGCAUCUGCGGGACAGUG
rnacentral:ncRNA from 1 species